GAUGAACGCUGGCGGCGUGCCUAACACAUGCAAGUCGAGCGAAAAGAUGAGGAGAUUGCUCCUCUAACGUUAGCGGCGGACGGGUGAGUAAGACGUGGAUAACCUACUUAUAAGACUGGGAUAACUUCGGGAAACAGGUGCUAAUACCGGAUAAUAUAUUCUACGGCUUGAUUCAAUAGUGAAACACGGUUUUGCCGUUACUUUUAGAUGAUGUCGGGCCGGAUUAGUUAGUUGGUAAGGUAACGGCUUACCAAGGCAACGAUCCGUAGCCGACCUGAGAGGGUGAUCGGCCACACUGGAACUGAGACACGGUCCAGACUCCUACGGGAGGCAGCAGUGGGGAAUAUUGGGCAAUGGGCGAAAGCCUGACCGAGCCAUACCGCGUGGGUGAAGAAGGUCUUCGGGUUGUAAAGCUCUGUUGUUAGGAAAGAACAACUGCGUAUUAAACUAUCGACGUCUUGACGGUACCUAAACAAUAAGCCCCGGCUAACUUCGUG
rnacentral:rRNA from 1 species